rnacentral:rRNA from 1 species
GAUGAACGCUGGCGGCGUGCUUAACACAUGCAAGUCGAACGACGAACCGGGUGCUUGCACUCGGGGAUUAGUGGCGAACGGGUGAGUAACACGUGAGCAACCUGCCCCUGACUCUGGGAUAAGCGCUGGAAACGGCGUCUAAUACUGGAUAUGUCCCGUCACCGCAUGGUGUGCGGGUGGAAAGAUUUUUCGGUUGGGGAUGGGCUCGCGGCCUAUCAGCUUGUUGGUGAGGUAAAGGACCAACAAGGCGUCGACGCGUAGCCGGCCUGAGAGGGUGACCGGGCACUGUGGGACUGAGCAACGGCCCAGGCGCCUACGGGAGGAGGCAGUGGGGAAUAUGGCACAAUGGGCGGAAGCCUGAUGCAGCAACGCCGCGUGAGGGAUGACGGCCUUCGGGUUGUAAGCCUCUUUUAGCAGGGAAGAAGCGAGAGUGACGGUACCUGCAGAAAAAGCACCGGCUAACUACGUGCCAGCAGCCGCAGUAA